UACAGAGGGGGCAAGCGUUAUUCGGAAUUAGUGGGCGUAAAGGGCGCGUAGGCGGCUUGGCAAGUGGAAGGUGAAAUCCCUCGGCUUAACCGAGGAACUGCCCUCCAAACUGCUUCGCUUGAGACCGGGAGAGGUGAGUGGAAUUCCCAGUGUAGCGGUGAAAUGCGUAGAUAUUGGGAGGAACACCAGUGGCGAAGGCGGCUCACUGGACCGGAACUGACGCUGAUGCGCGAAAGCUAGGGGAGCAAACGGG
rnacentral:rRNA from 1 species